ACGGGAGGCAGCAGUGAGGAAUAUUGGUCAAUGGGCGUAAGCCUGAACCAGCCAAGUAGCGUGGAGGAUGACGGCCCUAUGGGUUGUAAACUCCUUUUGCCGGGGGAUAAAAAACGGGACGCGUCCCGUCUUGCAGGUACCCGUGCGAAUAAGGACCGGCUAUUUCCGUGCCAGCAGCCGCGGUAAUACGGAAGGUCCGGGCGUUAUCCGGAUUUAUUGGGUUUAAAGGGAGCGCAGGCGGCCUGUUAAGCGUGUGGUGAAAUGUAGUCGCUCAACGUCUGCACUGCCACGCGAACUGGCGGGCUUGGGUGCGGUGAACGCUGGCGGAAUUCGUGGUGUAGCGGUGAAAUGCUUAGAUAUCACGAAGAACUCCGAUUGCGAAGGCAGCUGGCGGUACCGUUACCGACGCUCAUGCUCGAAAGUGUGGGUAUCGAACAGGAUUAGAUACCCUGGUA
rnacentral:rRNA from 1 species